UCACCCUUAUGUUGGUCUAGGGUUAUGAUUCUUGCUUAAGGUGCAAGGAGUCCCAGAUUCAAAUCCCAGAUGAGCCCAACUUUUGAGUAGUAAAUUCUGAAGAAUUGAAGAAACAAUCUGGUUGAAUAAAAAAGCCCUGAGAAAGGCCUGAUGCUACGCUGGUAUCCGCAACACCCAGUGUAGUCGCCGGCAGGCUAAUGAAGACUUUCUACUGGCUUCAACCCAUGUCUGAGCAGUUCUCUGAGUCCAAAGGCACAGAGUGUAUUUUCAGUACAGGCCCUGAUAGGAUGGGCUGACAUUUCCUACUGAGAACUGGUCCAGACAGCUUUCUCAGCACAGCCUAAGGAUAAGAAGAUACCCGUAUUUCAUAUCGUAUUCAUCCGGGUCCAAUGAGGACAGAAAAAACAAUCACGUAAUAAUUUGAUAGGAAAAGCAUAAUAAAAAGGAAUAAUGAUACGUGUAGAGAUGGAAGAUAAUUGGGACAUCUCUGACUCUUGAGGAUGAAAUAAGGCACCUGGGAUCAUCACACACAUCAGAACUGAGAUAUACAUUUUUGGAGGAUGUGACCGUGACCAUUAAUCUCCAUUUUCAACUUGUUGGAACCAUGGAGUCAUCAUGGAAAUGCACAUCUGGGUGUGUCCAUUGAGCCAUCCUUCCAUCUCCUGAAAGCCUAGUCUUAAUUGUAAUUCUAUAUUCUCAUUUUUAUGGAGUUGUGACUGCUUCUUGUGUGUGUGUGUUGAUGAGACAAUGAGUUUGCCUUAUGUUGGUAAUUCUUGAUGCAGCUCUCUAAUUGGUAGCAGAUUUGUACUGGACUGCAAACACAGAGUUACCUAGACUUUGCUGUGGCAGAA